CUCCAAUGAUGAUCCAGCCAUGCUAAUACUGAUGCACCAGACGGAUGUAGUCUGACUGGGUGUAAGUGAGUUCAACUCACCUUCUCACACUGAUUCUAUCAGUGUGUGCUGAGGAGA